rnacentral:rRNA from 1 species
UACGUAGGGGGCUAGCGUUGUCCGGAAUCAUUGGGCGUAAAGAGCGUGUAGGCGGCCCGGUAAGUCAGCUGUGAAAGUCAAGGGCUCAACCCUUGAAUGCCGGUUGAUACUGUCGGGCUAGAGUCCGGAAGAGGCGAGUGGAAUUCCCGGUGUAGCGGUGAAAUGCGUAGAUAUCAAGAGGAACACCUGAGGUGAAGACGGGUUGCUGGGCUGACACUGACGCUGAGGCGCGAAAGCCAGGGGAGCAAACGGG